AGGAAAUGUGGAAAAAGUAAAGUCACCCAGUCUUCAUAUAAGGAAGAACCAACGACUACACUUUGAUGCAUGUGUGAUUCUCCAGACUUCAGCUAUUUUAGCUUAAUUUUUUCCUUCUCCAAGAAACUUUCUGAGGAUAAAGUUGAACAAGCCAAAAUCUUUGAUACCUUUCCCAGCACUCAGCUUACCAAUUUAGUACAAACGCAGAUCUACACGCUUAUCUGGCCUGUCAUAAUCCCACACCUGUGGAUUACACAAAUUUUUAACAGACAUUUAAUCUGAAAUUAUCUUUCUGAUCAAGAAUUUCCUGAAUAAAGUCUCCUGUGAAUCAGGAAAUAAGAGAAAGAAUCAAAAAAUGCGAUAGCAUCAAAUUAAAAAGCUUCUGCACAGCAAAAGAUACAUGGAGGGCAGAGACAAUCUACAAAAGAAACCAACUCUUAGCUUCAUUUUUGAGAACCUGGGCUUCCUGCCUGGCACAUGAGAUUAUCUGCAUGGCUUUGGAGCACAAAUGAUGGUUACUCAUCUAAUUCUGGACUGGUAACUGUAAAACUUCAAAACUGCUUUAGUAAAAAUUUACCAAGCCUCACAAUAAAUCCUAACUUCACUUUUAAAUCU